rnacentral:rRNA from 1 species
UACGUAGGGUGCGAGCGUUAAUCGGAAUUACUGGGCGUAAAGCGUGCGCAGGCGGUUAUGUAAGACAGAUGUGAAAUCCCCGGGCUCAACCUGGGAACUGCAUUUGGGACUGCAAGGCUGGAGUGUGGCAGAGGAGACUGGAAUUCCUGGUGUAGCAGUGAAAUGCGUAGAUAUCAGGAGGAAUACCGAUGGCGAAGGCAGGUCUCUGGGCUGACACUGACGCUCAUGCACGAAAGCGUGGGGAGCAAACAGG